AUACUUAGCUGGACGGGGUCAAUGGGUGAUCAAGAAGGCCCAUGGCCUAGGUUAGUGGCUUCCAUUGCACUUGGGAGGGGCACCGACUUAGCAUCUCCUCAAGUAGGAGAGUGCAUGUCAUAAUUUGUGGUAGAGGGGGUAUGCAUUCGCACGGGCCCCUG